UGAAUCGGUAAUUGAGUUAGAAAUUGAGAAAUUAAAGUGGGUUCGGUGAACACAUUAUGAUGAGGAAGAAUUAGUGAUUGAUGUGUGAGUUUUAAUGAAGAUUAGAGAAGCUAAGUUUUAGAUAUUGUGGUGGAUGAUUUUGCGAGUUGCAGGAAUCACAUUAUGGAUCUCUCCGAAUUUUGUGGCUGAAGAGGAUGUGGAAACAGUUGAAACUGCUGGAACACAAACAGUUGCUGUUAGUCAGACUAAAGAAGAUGUGGUGAGAGCUUAACCCAUGGAAGUGGAAGGAAAUGGAACUUUAGAGAUUGGAGAUCUAGCAGAGAAACUAAGUCCAAGCAAGGAGAUGGAGCUGAAGUAGCAGAAAAUGUUGUGUUACGAAAA